rnacentral:rRNA from 1 species
CUCAGGACGAACGCUGGCGGCGCGCCUAACACAUGCAAGUCGAACGGAAUGCGGAGAGGAUUUAUCUUUUCUGUGUUUAGUGGCGAACGGGUGAGUAACGCGUGAGGAACCUGCCUCAAAGAGGGGGACAACAGUUGGAAACGACUGCUAAUACCGCAUAAGCCCACGGUCUCGCAUGAGACAGAGGGAAAAGGAGCAAUCCGCUUUGAGAUGGCCUCGCGUCCGAUUAGCUAGUUGGUGAGGUAACGGCCCACCAAGGCGACGAUCGGUAGCCGGACUGAGAGGUUGAACGGCCACAUUGGGACUGAGACACGGCCCAGACUCCUACGGGAGGCAGCAGUGGGGAAUAUUGCACAAUGGGGGAAACCCUGAUGCAGCGACGCCGCGUGGAGGAAGAAGGUCUUCGGAUUGUAAACUCCUGUUGUUGGGGAAAAAGAGGAUGGUACCCAACAAGGAAGUGACGGCUAACUACGUGCC